UCUUAUGUUAAUCAUAAAAUUUAAGGUUAUUUUUCCAUUUUACUUAGUUGUGAAAGCUUAUCGUAUUGGCUCAAAAUACAGGUCUCCCGGUAGUCCACACUUAACACAGCGAAUCACCAUUUUUUUAGUAAUAUUGAAUUUUGAUAAAUUCAACUACAAUAAAGUAAUCAAGACAAUUGAGAUUUGACUCACGGAGGCUUUUGUUUCCAUGAUUCGACUGUAACAACGUACAUACAUUCUAGAUGUGCGGAGUAAUCUUUCACAUGGUUCUCAUUUUGCAUAUUACAGUCCUGAACCCCUUCCAUCCAGAAACCUUUCGACCAAUAGAAAAAUUAUAGAAAAGGACAGAUCGGUCCUUACGAUUUGCUCUCUCUUUCUAUUCCCGAUUACCCUUUCUGCAACUACAGUGAGCAGUCCAGUACUAUAUGUCGAUGGUGCUGGCUUAACUGGCACAGAUAUGCGGCGUUACAACAUUUUUGCAGGGCUUAUACACCACAUGCGCAGUUCAAUUCGAAAAGUACAACCUUAUACGUGAAGUGAGUGAAACAGCUGUGUGCUCGCUGGGUUACCUCCGAAUACAGUCGUACGCAUUCCACACUCCAGUAUACGAACGUCGAUUUCACCUUUUCACGUGAAAUAUCGUGUCGAGUCUCCUCACGUGAUUAGUCUAUUAUUUUCACGAGUUGAGAUUGAUCAUAAUUGGGUGAGUUGCUCACAUUCGUCAUUUUCACCCAAUCCAAGAACCGUGAUAGGCCCCCUAGAGUUUCAGUGGAUUACCACUUUUGUUCAGAAACAAGUAUUGUUUCACCUAACUGAGAACUAUUCGCAGGAGAAAUGAUUACAUUUAUUUUAUUAGACACUAAUUUUCUAUACGCAGAUUUAUACUGAAUCGUGGUGGGAUUAUCUUGGAUCUUGGGAUAACUUAUAACUCAACAGCUUAAUCAGUAAAUUUUUUAGUAAAAUAGAUUUUUAUACACCAGUUAAAGAGUUAAUUAAAUAGUGGGCCAUUGGAGCUUCGAAUCCACCAUUUAUAUUGACUACCAUGAAAACUAAUGCUUUUGAAGCAAUUUUGUUCCGUCUGUCUUUGUUUAAUUCAUUUAACUGAUCCCCUAAAUCAAUAAGACCUGUUCACGAAUGAGUAUUUUUAUCCCAUUCAAUAUGCUGCUUGAUGUGCAUUUCAUUAAAAGUAAUAUUAAAGACAAGCUUUUUACCUUUUGCUGCCUCACGCUUAUUUCAGAUAUAUUUUUAAUAAUUUCUUCAGAAAUUGCUGGCUUGUAACCUUUGGUACAUAUCCAACUGUGAAGGGUUUGAAUACAAGGUAGGCAAUUUAAAAAAUUAUGUCUGACAACUUCAUAUGCGGCCGGAAAAUGAAAGUGAAGGGUUCGAGCAAAGUUCUUCAAAUGGGAUGGAAAAGAUGCUGUUGAUUUAGGUUCUCUCAUACGUAUUAUUAGUUCUUUUAAAUGUGAUAGUAAUCCUAUAAAAAAAUGAAAAAUAUUAUAACAAUAGGAUAGUAUAUUUUCUUAAUUAAAAAAAUUUUUUUCAAAACAUUUAUUUCAUUAAUAUAAAUUUGAGUACAUUUCUAUUAUAAUAUUGAUGUAUCAUAUACUUUAAUAUAAAAUCAGAAUGUAGCUUAAAACAGCUUAAAAUGCUUGAAUAGAUCAUAUAUAUAUUUGGAGAUAAUAAUAUAUACAAAUUAUAAAAUAGAACAUUAUUUUUUAAAUCAGAAAAAUAUAAUCAAUAAAACACAGUACACUUUUUUUCAAUUAUAAUAUAAUACAAAUAUAAAUAUAAAUAAAUAUAAUAAUAAUAAGAAUAAAAAUUAAACCUUCAGAUUUACUGCAGCAUUAAAUUCCUUCUUGAUAUGCAAAGUAUUGAUUAUAUCUUUCAAACUUAAAUUUCUUUUUCUGAUACGUGAGCUUUGACUAUGAGCUGCUCAAAUUUUAGAUCUUUCAUAAGCUGAAUAUCUUAAGAAUCGACUCUAAGUUCUAUCUGAGAUAAAAUCUUCUCGACAGAUAUACUCUGUGGUAAAGCCUUUUUAUACUAUUAUGCAUAAAAACUGCAUUCACAUCAUUACUGUGAAAAAGAAUUCAUUACCUUUUCAUACUGUUUGAUUCAAUUCAAAUUGAUUGCAAACUUUCUCUAAGAGAAUUUGUGAAACACAGCUUAUUUGUACUUUUUUCAGUCUUUCUUCAUUCCAAUGUGAUUGUGAACUCAAGUCAUUGGUUUAACAAUUUUCUUGAGAAUUUGUCUCUUUAUCCACAUUAUUUUCUAAACUUGCAUGUUUCUCUUCAUUUUCUGCAUAGCUAUUAAUGCUAAUAUUUCUAACUUCCGUUACUUAUUGAAGAACGACAUGUAUUUUCACUGUUUAUUUGAGGUACUGCUUCUAGGGAUAGCCGCUUUCAUCUCCUCAGCUCAUCUACAUGAAAAAAUGCUUCCUUGUUAAAAUGAUCACUGCAAAUGUGCAUUGUUUUGAAAUUUGGAGAUUUCUGCAAUUUUAUAGCAUUGAUCCAUUUUUUCCUUAAUAAUUCAUUUUUCAGAAACCUGUAUUUACAAUAGGAUGUAAUAUAUGAAUGUCACAUUUAUAGAUUAAAAGUAACACUACAAAUAAAUGCAAUACUUACAUAUGAAAGCUCCGAUUGGAAAUUCGACUAGGUUCCGCUUUACAAACAAUACAUCUUUUGUCAUGGUCUGAAAUGUUUGUCUUUUAUAUUGUAUAUCACAAUAAGAUUAAAUAUGAUUUUUCAACACAAAGUAUCAUAUAUGGAAAACACACAACAAACCAUAAUGGCUACAAUAACUCGCCAAUUUCAUCGUACGUGGAAGAAUAUUACUACUGGAUAUUAUUUUUUUUUCGCCUAUUCGCCAUUUCAGGCUCGAGAUAAUUAAAAAUAAAACGUGCGAUUUUCAUAGAAGAUUAUAAUUGUACAUAUAUCUGUGAAUUGGCAUAGAUCUGAUGAUUUUUAUAUUUAAAUGUAUGUAUGCGAAAUGGAUUGAAAAAAAAGACACUAGAAGUGAGAUUCGAACCGCAAUCCCACAAUUACUAGCUUUGAAUGCUACCGUAUGAGCUACGCGUCCUACUCGAAUAGUGUAACAUAAUGGGUGCACAUAAACCGCUCGCACAACUUCAAAGUCGAUUUUCUCGAGAAAUUCUGAAUAUGAUAUCGGAUUGCUUUGGGAAAUUACUAUUUGAGUUCUUAGCCUCAUGUACCAUGAAUAUAAAAAAUUACAAAAAUCCGAUUGUUAGAGACUCCUCUUGUUAGUUAAAAGUUUUGGUAGUUAUUGAUUCUGCCAAAAACCUUAAAAAACUGUAAGUUCAAUAGUGGUGGGGGUAGGUCAUACGAUAGCAAUGAGUUGGCUGGAAAAAUAUUAAUUUUUGAAAUAAGAACAUUCCGUGAGGUCUUAAGAUAGCUAUUGCAUGAACGAAAAUAAUGAUUCUUCAUUGGUAGGAAACUAUGUUAUUCUAUAUCGAAUUAUACAUGAUCAGGAAUUAUUUCACGAAUUUUUACCACCUAAUUACGGAAAUAUAGGCAUUCAAAGUUGGUCAGUUUAACAUCAGAGUAUAUGAACGGGAGGUAUACGACCGCAUUUAACGAGAUUUUAUGAUUAUAUUAGGUGGGCAACUAAGUUCCCGCUGUUUGUCAAUAGAUGGCUCCAACAGUAAGUGCUGGCCGAUUUUGACAUAUCCAAAACGUCAUGAACCAAGCUUAGACAUAUGGUAAACAAACCGUUGUGACACAUUAGUGAUUUUGUUUUGGCGUCAUACUUUUGGUUGUGUGAAAAUGUCUGAUUUUGUGCCAAAUAAUCGUUAUUUGCGGGAAGUGUUAAUUUUCUUCUUUCAUUCAAAGAAAACGGCGGCUGAAGCGCAUCGAGAGCUUUAAAAAGUUUACGGAGAUGCUGCUCUAAGUGAAAUAACGUGCUGUGAUUGGUUCCGUCGCUUGAAAGACGGUGAUUUCGAUGUUGACGACCAUCCGCGUAAAGGAAGGCCAAAAACCUUCGGAGACGCUGAAUUGGAGGCAUUGCUCGAUGAGGAUCCGUGCCCAACGCAAGAAGAUCUUGUUUUAGCAUUAGGAGUUACCUGCCAAGCCAUUUCCAAGCGAUUGCAUGCGUUGGGAAUGAUUCAGAAACAAGGAACUUGGGUUCAUUAUGAUUCUACAGCAUGACAACGCUCGGCCUCACGUUGCCAAACCCGUUAAAACCUACCAGGAAACGCUCAAAUAGGAAGUCCUACCCCACCGCCGUAUUCCCCAGAUAUUGCGCCGUCCGAUUAUUACCUGUUCCGGUCGAUGGCACAUGUUCUGGCUGAUCAGCAGUUCCGCUCAUAUGAAGACAUCACAAAAUGGCUUGAUUCGUGGAUAGCCUCGAAAAAUUAACACUUUUACCGUAACGGUAUUCGAGCUCUACCAGAAAGAUGGGAAAAAGUUGCAGUUAACGAUGGGCAAUACUUUGAAUGAUUCAUUUGUAACAGUUUUUUACACUAAAGUUGCAUUUUCAUAAAAAAAACAGCGAGAACUUAGUUGCGCACCUAAUAUUAAAAAAAGAUAAGGCUUCGCAAACCAGUAGAUCAUAUGAAUUGAAGUUUUAAGAUUCAUUCAAAGAAAGAAAAACGUUCGAUCGCUAUCACGAUAAAAAAAUAUUCAACGUCGAAGCAAGGAAAAUGUAUCUGAAAGAGCAGCCUCGGCUAGUCAACCAUCGAUAUCUGGCAACAGCGCGAAACCACACCUAACCUCACCGUUAGCGCCAAUUUCGAAACAAUCAAUCGAGCUUAACAUGUUUUGAGUGUGAAGUUGCAAUUUAAUUUUAAAUCAAAAACUAUCUGGAGCCAUUACUUAGUUUAGGAUAUCGUGCCGCUGGAAAUUGCAUAUAUUUUUGAGUGCGUUUUACACAGUUCAGGGAGAAGGACUGGGAAAUUUAAGGUUACGAAAAAAGUAAUCAACGACAGUAAUUACGAGUUUUCAAUCAAUUUUUUUUUAUUUGCUCUUUAUGACUGAAGCAUUGUUCAUUUACAGACAUAUCUAUAAUUAUACUGUAAUAUUACCUUUUAUCCUCUUCAGUUAAAUUUUUUUUUCAAUUGUAAUUCUUUCCGGCAGAUCUCUUUGGCAGCUUCUUCGAUCGCUUUUCCAACGACUCUCUCGUAUCUUUUUGUCAGUGUGGCGUGGGUAACUGGAAUAUUCAAUUCCAACAGAAUGGUAUUCUUCCUAUUCUACAAUUCACAAUAGCUAAGAAAAAAAAUCUAAAAAUUCAUGAACUAAAAAUAUGCAUGGAUUUAUUGACACAUAGAUUUUAAGUUAUGUACAGUCGGCUCAAACGAUUCUGACGCAUAAAAAACGUGGCUAGAGGAGAAGGCUUCCCCUACUUAGCACGCUCUUUAGUCUACCCUGGUUAAAAAAUACGAUAGAAAACGAUUUUUAAAAAAUCCUAUCUAAUCCAAUCGUGUUUUUGGUUCGUAAAAUUUAGAUUCGUUAUCUAAUAUUUCCUAUACAAUUUCUAUCGUUUUUAAUAGGUUUAUUAUUGCAUAUUAUAUAGGAUCACUUUAUGCAUGACACGACAAAUUGAUCGCUAGUUAACUGUAUUAAGAAUGCAUUGUACAUAAAUUCUCAACCAAAAGAUUGAUUUCGUUCAGUGUCUUGCGAUAAGGGAAAAAUUUGACAAAAAACAGCGUCUUGGAGAUAUUAAGAAUAUCUCUUUUUUUAUCGGAAAAAUUAGAGACUUCAUUUCAUAUGAAAGUUGUCUACCGAAUAUGUAAAUUAAUUUUUUUAAUUCAUUUAUUAGUAACUUUUUGGCAUUAUUAUUAAAAACAAACAUUCUUCCUAUCUUCCAAGACGUCGAUUUUUUUCAGUUUUUAUUCUCGUGUCAAAGCACUCAAAUUCAAAUCAAAUCAGAUUCUUGGUGGGAAAUGUACGUGCAGUGCAUCCUCAAAUUCAUGAUAAUUGUUGAGAAAACCAUUUGUUAUUAAGCCAUAUAAGAAGGUUAUCGUUUAUUUCAUAUUCUUCCCUAAUAAGUUGGUGACGAUAGAAAACGAUUCGAUUCCUAUCACGCAUUUUCAUAUUAAUACAUAUAAAAAUAUGAUUCAUAUAGAAUCAUAUAGAAUCAUAUAGCAUCAUAUACGUAAUAGAACGUGAAUUUCAUAUUACCAUAGAUAGACGUACUGCUUAUAUGAAAAUACAUAUAGGUAUAGAUUAAAUUUCUAUUGUAUUAUUACGAUAAAGCAACAACCUGAUAGGUUCAGAUUACAUUAGAUAGAAACUCUAUCAUCACUUCAACUUGAUGUAGAUAGGACUGAUAGAAAACGAUUGAAAUCGGCAAUUAGUUUUAUCGUUUCUUAUCGAAUUCUAUCGUAUUUUUUAAGCGGGUACGUCAUAUACUGCGCGUAAUAGAUGCGCUGUGACGUGCGCUUCUACCCAGGGUCUGCGCAAUUUCAUCUAUCGCUAGAAAGGACCGGGUCCCGAAAAGGAAACGGAACACUGUGUAAAAUGUAAAAGAAUGUAAUUAAUAAAACGAGUACUGAUACAAAAAGAAAACAGGAAAGAAAAUAAACCAAAAGGUAACAGAAAAGAAAAGAAAAUAAAUCAGCAGAUCGUAGAACUCGGAAUACAAUGCAUUAAAAGACGCAAUACUGGACUCAUGGAGGCUAGACAGAAGGAGACAAAACUGUGGAUACCAGGAAUGGAUCCAAAUAUGUGUCGAGUAAGCGUUUCCGAUGAAACCGCUUGGCGGCGCUGUAAACAGGGAAAUCUCAACCAGGGGGUGUCAACUGGCAUAAGAAAUCGUCGACACUAGAAUAGUUAAUGUCUAAGGAAAUAACCGAGAGGGCACCAACAAAGUGUUGGCGUAUCUAACAGUAGUUUUGAAUUACACGCUUUUGUAGACCUGUAACGCCCGUUUUCUUCGACGCGGUUCAAAUGACAGAUCAGCUGAAGUCGGUUCACAUGUGAACUGACAUCAAAAUCAGGAUGUAUUUCUUCAGCUCUAAUUUGAUCCAGAUCAAUUGAACUUUUACGUCAUAUCUUCAUUUUUGUAACGAAAGUUUCCAUUCGCUAUUGCUGUCGACCAGUAUUUCGAAUAUCGUCGUUACAUAAUGGAAAGUGCGAACAAAAUUAGAAGAUCUGCAAACUUUACAGAAAAUGAUAAGAUUUUAUUAUUUGAUUUAAUAAAUAACAAGAAAGAUAUAGAAAAUAAGCAGACGACUGUUGUUGGUAUGAAACAGAAACACAAAUGUUGGGAUGAAUAUGGGCUUUUACAGAAAUGUCGAAGCGUUGAUGAAUUGUUGGGAAAAUAUUAAAAAAAAAAACCAGAAAACACUUCACUGAAGAGAGGAAAGAAACCUAUCGAAUACUCUAAUCUACUUAUGACGAUUCAAUUGCAUCCAAGACAAAUUAACUACUAUUGCCACUAUUUUUACUACUAUUAUUAUAUUUAUACUUAUAUUAAAUGUAGGUUUUUUUUUUUUCUAUCAUUAGCCUGCAUUAGUUCAUUUAUAUUCCCAUAUUGUAUAAGUUGCUUCCAUGGACAAGGAAGAUU